AAGAACGGAUACAAAGACCUUUGAAUGGAAGAUGAGGAGGAGGGUUACACAGCACUUCACUUCAAAAAAAGGAAGAGAAGAUCAAAUAUAGGUGAUAAAAAGGAUACCAACGUGAGAAAAUUCAAGUCUACAGUUUGGAAAGCCACAUUUUAAUAAAUAUUCAUCUCCUAAAUGUCCUGGCUUGUGAUAUCUUGUCCUAAUCUUCGGGCUUCUUAGUCUCCUGCUUCUGGGAGCUGUGAUCACCUUAUCUUUGCAAUGUGA